rnacentral:misc_RNA from 1 species
AAAAUGCGAUAAGUAAUGUGAAUUGCAGAAUUCAGUGAAUCAUCGAAUCUUUGAACGCACAUUGCGCCCGCCAGUAUUCUGGCGGGCAUGCCUGUUCGAGCGUCAUUUCAACCCUCAAGCCCCCGGGUUUGAUGUUGGGGAUCGGGCUGUGGUUCUCCGCGUCCCGGCCCCGAAAUCUAGUGGCGGUCUCGCUGCAGCCUCCAUUGCGUAGUAGCUAACACCUCGCAACUGGAACGCGGCGCGGCCAAGCCGUUAAACCCCCAACUUCUGAAUGUUGACCUCGGAUCAGGUAGGAAUACCCGCUGAACUUAAGC